GCUCGACUCAACCUGCAUGCAUUAAGCUUAAUCAAUAAAUAAUCAAAUCAAUCUUGAAUUACCUUGGAUAAUUUAUUAAAAUGCAAUCAUGAAGGUAAUACAAUUUUUAGUUAAAUUUACAAAAUAUGUGAAUUAAAAUAAUGAUAAGUGCUAUGAUUAAGAUAUUAAUUUAUGCAUUAUUUAGCACUUAUCACACCCCCCAACCUACAUUUUGCUAGUCCUCGAGCAAAAUAAAAUAAAAAAAACUAACUCACUUUCGCAGGAAUCGCGAUUGCAUUUACCGUAUGCAAUAAGGCUUUAAACCCCUAGGUGGCCCUAGUGGACGAUUUUUGUCUCGUGAGGGUUUCCGGCUCAGAUACCCACAAACUGUGGUCUCUUUCCAAUUUAUUUUAUCGUUACAUAAAAUCUAAUUUCAAAUGCAUAAGUGCCAAUAAUUUCAAAAGCACACAAAGUUUUAAUUACUAAGUCAGCCCAAAUCCUACGUCAGUAUGCAACUUAAGUUGAAGUUAUUAUGUUUCCGUUAGAGAGUUGUAAGACUUAUUUAUACUUGGGUGCUCGGUGAUAU
rnacentral:lncRNA from 1 species